rnacentral:piRNA from 1 species
UAGUAGGAAAAUGACUACAUGUCGGGUGGU